AGAGUUUGAUCCUGGCUCAGAGUGAACGCUGGCGGCGUGGAUUAGGCAUGCAAGUCGAGCGAUCCUUGCCUGAAAUUCCGCUUAACUCAGACUUCGGUUUGAGAGCGGCGGAACGGAUGGCGCUGGAUAGCGGCAAACGGGUGAGUAACGCGUGAGUAACUUGCCCCUAAGACAGGGAUAGCUUCGUGAAAACGGAGGUAAUAUCUGAUAAUCCCUUUAUUUCGCAUGGAGUGAAGGGUAAAGGUGGGGAUCUUAGGACCUGCCACUUAGGGAUGGACUCGCGUCCUAUCAGCUUGUUGGUAGGGUAAUGGCCUACCAAGGCAUUUGACGGGUAGCUGGUCUGAGAGGAUGGUCAGCCACACUGGGACUGAGACACUGCCCAGACUCCUACGGGAGGCUGCAGUCGAGAAUAUUUAGCAAUGGGCGAAAGCCUGACUAUGCGACGCCGCGUGCAGGAUGAAGGUUUUCGGAUUGUAAACUGCUUUUGUCAGGGGAGAAUCCCCCAUAGUUAAUAGCUGUGGGGUUGACGGUACCUGACGAAUAAGCCACGGCCAACUCCGUGCCAGCAGCCGCGGUAAUACGGAGGUGGCAAGCGUUACUCGGAAUCACUGGGUGUAAAGGGCAAGUAGGCGGCCAGAUAAGUGAGGGGUGAAAUCUUCCGACUCAAUCGGAAAACUGCCUUUCAAACUGUUUGGCUUGAGGCAGGAAGAGGGAAACGGAAUUCUCGGUGUAAGGGUGAAAUCUGUAGAUAUCGAGAAGAACACCAGCAGCGAAGGCGGUUUCCUGGUCCUGUCCUGACGCUGAAUUGCGAAAGCUAGGGGAGCGAACAGAAUUAGAUACUCUGGUAGUCCUAGCUGUAAACGAUGAGUACUAGGUGUUGGAUCGAAAGAUUCAGUGCCGCAGCUAACGCAUUAAGUACUCCACCUGGGGACUACGGUCGCAAGGCUAAAACUCAAAGGAAUUGACGGGGACCCGCACAAGCGGUGGAACAUGUGGUUUAAUUCGAUGAUACGCGAAAAACCUCACCAGGGCUUGACAUGUAGGAAGUAGUGAACUGAAAGGGGAACGAGCCGUCAAGUCCGGCAACCUACACAGGUGCUGCAUGGCUGUCGUCAGCUCGUGUCGUGAGAUGUUGGGUUAAGUCCCGCAACGAGCGCAACCAUUUUCUCAUGUUGCUAAGUUAGCUGAUCCUUCGGGGUCGGGUGACAGCACUCUUGAGAGACUGCCCGGGAUAACCGGGAGGAAGGUGGAGAUGACGUCAAGUCAGUACGGCCCUUAUGUCCUGGGCAACACACGUGUUACAAUGGCCGGUACAAAGAGUCGCCAACCCGCAAGGGGGAGCCAAUCUCUAAAAACCGGUCUCAGUUCGGAUUGGAGUCUGCAAUCCGACUCCAUGAAGCUGGAAUCGCUAGUAAUGGGAGAUCAGCACGCUCCCGUGAAUACGUUCCCGGGUCUUGUACACACCGCCCGUCAAGCGAUGGGAGCUGGGGGUACCCGAAGUCCUGUGUAGGCAGGCCGAAGGUAAAUCCGGUGACUGGCGCUAAGUCGUAACAAGG
rnacentral:rRNA from 1 species